rfam:Gossypium hirsutum cultivar TM-1 chromosome 5, whole genome shotgun sequence
CACGUAAGCACGAGAUGCUGACGUGGAAGGAAAUCGCUCCCUCAAGGACGCGAUUUCCUUCCACAUCAGUAUCUCGCGCUUACGUAG